GGUUCCGCCUGCUCUCACUCAGUUCGCGGCAAACGCGAUUGAGGAGAGGUUGGUGAGCUCCUAAGGAAGGCACAUAAUCAGCUUUGCCAUUUGUUUGCUUUAUUCAUACAGGUAUGUGUUUACAUAUGUGUUUAUGCUUCUGUUAUGUUUUUGAAUUUAUGUAUAAUGUUUCUUUUUUUUUUUGGUGUAUGUUAAACACACUUCAACUUUAUUUAUGUGAGUUCGCGGCAAACGCGAUUGAGGAGAGGUUGGUGAGCUCCUAAGGAAGGCACAUAAUCAGCUUUGCCAUUUGUUUGCUUUAUUCAUACAG